GUAGGUGGCAAGCGUUGUCCGGAAUUAUUGGGCGUAAAGCGCGCGCAGGCGGGGGUUUUUAAGUCUGAUGUGAAAGCCCACGGGCUCAACCGUGGAGGGUCAUUGGAAACUGGAGAACUUGAGUACAGAAGAGGAAAGCGGAAUUCCACGUGUAGCGGUGAAAUGCGUAGAGAUGUGGAGGGACACCAGUGGCGAAGGCGGCUUUCUGGUCUGUAACUGACGCUGAGGCGCGAAAGCGUGGGGAGCAAACAGGAUUAGAUACCCUGGUAGUCCACGCCGUAAACGAUGAGUGCUAAGUGUUAGGGGGUUUCCGCCCCUUAGUGCUGCAGCUAACGCAUUAAGCACUCCGCCUGGGGAGUACGGCCGCAAGGCUG
rnacentral:rRNA from 1 species